GACGAACGCUGGCGGCGUGCCUAAUACAUGCAAGUAGAACGCAGUUGCGAACGGGUGAGUAACGCGUAGGUAACUGCCUCAUAGCGGGGGAUAACUAUUGGAAACGAUAGCUAAUACCGCAUACUGUGAGAUGGACCUGCGUUGUCUUAGCUAGUUGGUGAGGUAAAGGCUCACCAAGGCGACGAUACAUAGCCGACCUGAGAGGGUGAUCGGCCACCACGGGAACGAGAACCGGCUCAGACCUCUCCGGGAGGGUGCAGGAAGGGAUUCUUGCGAAUGGAGCGAAGUCUGACCGAGCAACGCCGCCUGAGUGAAGAAGGUUUUCGGGUUCUAAAGCUCUGUUGGUAGAGAAGCGGUAACUAAUCAGAAAGGGACGGCUAACUACGUGCCAGCAGCCGCGGUAAUUC
rnacentral:rRNA from 1 species